rnacentral:lncRNA from 1 species
AAAGAGGCCUCCUCAGGAUCCACACCUCAGAAGCCCAAGAAGCCCAAGAAGAGCACCUUGAGCUCACCAGCCCCGGCACAGACACUGCCGAACAGCAUCACCCAGCGCCUCCUGGAGCAGCCCUGGCCCCUGAGUGAGGCACAGGUGCAGGCCUCUGUGAUGAAGGUCCUGACAGAACUGCUGGAGCAGGAAAGGCAGAAGGCCACCGAGGCCAUCAAGGAGAGUGGAAAGAAGGGCCAGAAACGGAAACUAUCAGGGGACCAGGUAGAAGCUGGGGCCCCAAAGAACAAGAAGAAGAAGCAGCAGCUUGCGGCUGGGACAAGUGCUGGUUCCCCAGAAAAGGCCUCCAGGACUUCCAAGGCAAAAUCAAAACUAAACAAAGGGAGUGCUGGUGGCAAGGGGAAGGGGUCUCCUGUCCCCCAAGGAGCCAAGGAGAAGCCCGAAGGCAAGCUGGGGAUAAAGCUUGAGAGUGGAGAGCAGAGUGACCCGAAGAGCAAGAAGGAAAAGAAGAAAUCCAGUAAGAGUAA